rnacentral:rRNA from 1 species
AGGUUAAGCUGGAAAGGGCGCACGGUGGAUGCCUUGGCACUAGGAGCCGAUGAA